rnacentral:rRNA from 1 species
CCUACGGGAGGCAGCAGUCGAGAAUCAUUCACAAUGGGGGAAACCCUGAUGGUGCGACGCCGCGUGGGGGAAUGAAGGUCUUCGGAUUGUAAACCCCUGUCAUGUGGGAGCAAAUUAAAAAGAUAGUACCACAAGAGGAAGAGACGGCUAACUCUGUGCCAGCAGCCGCGGUAAUACAGAGGUCUCAAGCGUUGUUCGGAAUCACUGGGCGUAAAGCGUGCGUAGACUGUUUCGUAAGUCGUGUGUGAAAGGCGCGGGCUCAACCCGCGGACGGCACAUGAUACUGCGAGACUAGAGUAAGGGAGGGGGAACCGGAAUUCUCGGUGUAGGAGUGAAAUGCGUAGAUAUCGAGAGGAACACUCGUGGCGAAGGCGGGUUCCUGGACAUUAACUGACGCUGAGGCACGAAGGCCAGGGGAGCGAAAGGGAUUAGAUACCCCUGUAGUC